UAAAAUUCUAAAAAAACAAAGACAAAGGAUGCUUUAUUUCUCAAAAUAGUGUCGCGAAUAAGAAAACCCUAGCAACAUCUGCUUGGUAGCGAUCUCAGCAUAACUCAUAGCUCUCAGCAUUUCAUCUGUGUUUUCUCAAAACAGAGAAACCACAGGUCUGCCGAGCAGAGAUCUCAACUCAAUCUCUAUUUUCUAUCUUACUCGAAUCUCAGGUUAUGGCACCUAGUAAGCAAUGGAUGCAACUUUUUAUUGAAAAUCGAGUCGACCAAGCCUACUUAGAUGAGGUGAAAAAGUUCUUGAAUUAUGCUAUUUUGAGUAUUUGAGAAGAAAAUUAAAUACUAUGUCCACCUUCUCGUCAAUUUAUUAUCUUCUAUCUAUUUGCUAAUGAGUUGUGGUCUGAGCACCUUCUGGCUUUCUCCAGGUUUGUAAGGAAGAGACGAGAACAAGAACUUACAAACUUAAUCAUAUCUUCUAGUCAAGGAAAGGGUGCGAUACACAAGAACUCAAUGGUUCUUAAACUAGACUAUAUGAAAGUUAAGACUACAUUUACCAAUCAACUAAAGAAAUACAUCCAAGAAGUUGAAACAAAUUUUGAAGAUUGAAGUUACAAGUCAAGAUACAUGUAUAGAAGAUGCAAAAGAUCAUUAUUAUUUUGCUAUGGAGUUAUGCAAAACUUGAUAUUAUAGUGUAGCUUGAGAUGUUAAUUAGCUAAGCUUUUUUGUUAAGAAAAUAUUGAAACUAACAUCAUGGGAUGAUAGCCAA